rnacentral:rRNA from 1 species
AAUUUUGGACAAUGGGGGCAACCCUGAUCCAGCCAUCCCGCGUGUGCGAUGAAGGCCUUCGGGUUGUAAAGCACUUUUGGCAGGGAAGAAACGGCGUCGGAUAAUACCUGGCGCAACUGACGGUACCUGCAGAAUAAGCACCGGCUAACUACGUGCCAGCAGCCGCGGUAAUACGUAGGGUGCAAGCGUUAAUCGGAAUUACUGGGCGUAAAGCGUGCGCAGGCGGUUCGGAAAGAAAGGUGUGAAAUCCCAGGGCUUAACCUUGGAACUGCACUUUUAACUCCCGAGCUAGAGUAUGUCAGAGGGGGGUAGAAUUCCACGUGUAGCAGUGAAAUGCGUAGAGAUGUGGAGGAAUACCGAUGGCGAAGGCAGCCCCCUGGGAUAAUACUGACGCUCAUGCACGAAAGCGUGGGGAGCAAACAGG